GGUGCUAAAAUAACCCCGUGACAUGCUUAAAUCUAAUAUUUUUAGCUAGCUACAGGCAUUUUGUUAACGUUUCAGCCCUUGAUGGUAUAUUGUGGCGCCGUUGUUUACUCCUCCGAUGGGCGUGGUUUUCAGAGUAUGACGCUGUCUCUAUAGUGAAAGAGAAAGUGAGUACAGGUGUAGCUUUUAUGUUCCUUCUGACAGCGCGGUCUUAAGCUCUGUCUGACUGCCUCGAAACUACAGGAAUGGACAGACUCAGACUGAGUAGUCGUGUAUCCAGUUUAAUUUGGCUCCUCCCUCUUUUAACGAACUUUAAUAAUGAUAUUGUGUCUGCGAUCGAAGGGUGCCCACUUCUCCCUCUCAAAAGCAAAACAAAGCCUUUCCAACCAAUGCAGAGCUACCCACAGGGUCACACGUUCUUCUAUGCCUGCAUUGACGGUUAUGUGAGGAAAGCUGGGACUUCUCCCAUGACUCGGUGUCUGAAAAUAUCUGGAAACCAUGGAAGCAAUCUGCAGUGGGAUAAUAUCAACGGGGACACUUCAUUAGUAUGCAUACGUAAGCCA